GAUGAACGCUGGCGGCGUGCCUAAUACAUGCAAGUCGAGCGAACGGACGAGAAGCUUGCUUUUCUGAUGUUAGCGGCGGACGGGUGAGUAACACGUGGAUAACCUACCUAUAAGACUGGGAUAACUUCGGGAAACCGGAGCUAAUACCGGAUAAUAUUUUGAACCGCAUGGUUCAAGAGUGAAAGACGGUCUUGCUGUCACUUAUAGAUGGAUCCGCGCUGCAUUAGCUAGUUGGUAAGGUAACGGCUUACCAAGGCAACGAUGCAUAGCCGACCUGAGAGGGUGAUCGGCCACACUGGAACUGAGACACGGUCCAGACUCCUACGGGAGGCAGCAGUAGGGAAUCUUCCGCAAUGGGCGAAAGCCUGACGGAGCAACGCCGCGUGAGUGAUGAAGGUCUUCGGAUCGUAAAGCUCUGUUAUUAGGGAAGAACAUAUGUGUAAGUAACUGUGCACAUCUUGACGGUACCUAAUCAGAAAGCCACGGCUAACUACGUG
rnacentral:rRNA from 1 species